UACGUAGGGCGCAAGCGUUAUCCGGAAUUAUUGGGCGUAAAGAGCUCGUAGGCGGUCUGUUGCGUCGGGAGUGAAAACUCAGGGCUUAACCCUGAGCCUGCUUCCGAUACGGGCAGACUAGAGGUAUGCAGGGGAGAACGGAAUUCCUGGUGUAGCGGUGAAAUGCGUAGAUAUCGGAAGGAACGCCGGUGGCGAAAGCGCGAGACUGGGCCGUAACUGACGCUGAGGAGCGAAAGCGUGGGGAGCAAACAGGG
rnacentral:rRNA from 1 species